ACAUGCCUACAACAUAGCGUUAAUGCAAUGGAUCCCAUUAGAACUCCGCAGUUAUGCGUGCUCAGGCUAGAGUAGUACUGGGAUGGGUGAACGUCCGGGAAGUCCUAGUCUUUUACAUGCC
rfam:Picea glauca, whole genome shotgun sequence.